rnacentral:rRNA from 1 species
UACGUAGGGUGCAAGCGUUGUCCGGAAUUAUUGGGCGUAAAGAGCUUGUAGGCGGUUUGUCGCGUCUGCUGUGAAAUUUCGGGGCUCAACCCCGAACUUGCAGUGGGUACGGGCAGACUAGAGUGUGGUAGGGGGAGACUGGAAUUCCUGGUGUAGCGGUGAAAUGCGCAGAUAUCAGGAGGAACACCGAUGGCGAAGGCGAGUCCCUGGACAACACCUGACACUGAGGCACGAAAGCUAGGGGAGCAAACAGG